rnacentral:lncRNA from 1 species
AGGAAGGGGGAGAAGAUUUCUGCAAAGUCCAACAUGUUCCUUCUAUCAUAUUCCAAAAUUGCGAGGGGUAGUAAUCAUGAUUAAUGCCAGGCAAUUCAUAAUCUUUGCUUUAGGAAAUACUUAACCCAUUUGUUUAUACAUAAAAAUCCACAACUAAUUUGCAUGUUUAUACAUCAUAUUGACAUUUUUUAAUAUUUCCUAUUCAGGUAUUGAAGCCAUUGCCAUUUUUUUUAUUCUGUUGCUGCUCUUCAUGGGACCAAAUAUAUGUAAAAAAGUUGUAACAGUACUGUGUGAAAUUGUGUACGUGGAGUGAAAUUUUUUGUAUUGUAAAAUUAGAGAUUGGGUUUUUUUUUUUUUUUUGGUUAUAAAUUUCAAAAUUGUAAGGUGCAAAAUUAUGAAAAGCUUUUUAGGUAACUUCUAUUAUACUGAACAUCCCUUGCUUAAAAAAUUUAAAAUUUUAAUAUGAUAAUAAUAUCAUAGUGUGAUGCAAUAAUUCAAUUUUUAAGUAAAUGAAUUUAAAGGUAACAAUAAUUAAAAAAAGCAUGGUAAGUAUGUGACUGAAGUAAUGUUAUUAAUCAACUCGACACCAAUUCAGUUAAUGAAUUUUCAAAAAUAACCUUACAUAUUUUAAAUAAGUUACGGGUAAUGCGUAUUCGGUAAAUGUACUUUUAUAACAUAUCUAAUGUGAUACCUAUACUUUGAAAAUGUUCAAUGUGGUAUCUAAAUUAUUAAUGUGUUUUAUUAUGGUACCUAAUUAAUGUUAACCGCGUUAGUGAACUACUAAACUAGCAAAUGAAAAUUUAACACGUAAAGUUAUUUUAAAAUCCAUGUGGAUAAUAUAACGUCAUGUGAAAAGCUAAAUAAAUAAAAGAAUAAAUUAAAUUAAAAGCAAAUAACUAAGGAUAUGGUUUAUAAAAAGAAAUAAAUACUAAACUUACAUAAGCAGAAACAUCAUCUUUUCCAAAGAGUUUUCCAUUUGAAAUAAUAUUUUUAAUUGAUUUUUAAAUAAUAUUUUUAUAGGCACAAUGACUUAGCCCUCCAACUUCAAAAAAAAAAAAAGGUCAUUUUAGCCAUCCAUUUAAUUUUUCUUUACCUUUCUUGACCCGUAAACUUGUAUUGUUUCUCAAAUCAUCCAAAAUUGAUAGAAAAUUUAACGUUUGUUAAUUUCGUUGAUGCGGCAUACACAUGGAUUGACACGUGAAUUUUACGUAAGCGAAUAAUUAAUUUUUAAAAUUUUAAAAUUUUAAAAAUUAAAAAUUAUUAAAAUUAAUAAAAAUAUAAAAUAUUUUUUUAAAAAUAAUUAAUUGCUAUAAUGUAGCAUACAUGUGGUAAUCCAUCUGUAUUCCAUGUCAACAAAGUUAACAAACGUUAACUUUUCCAUCCACUUUGGGGUAUUUUGACACACAAUACAAGUUUAAGGGCUAAAAGAGACAAAAAAGAGUUAAAUUGAAGCCUAAAAUAACCUUUUUUGUAAAGUUGAAGGGUCAAAAAAGUCAUCAUAUAUUUUUAUUAUCCAUGUAAAUACUGGUGCGCUCCUGGAAGUUUAAUAUUUACUUCUUUUUUAUUAACCAUAUGUUUAGUUAUUUGUUUUUGAAUAAAAACAAACAAAAAAAUUCUAAUUUUUUUUAAAAGUUUUCUAAAAAAAGAAUUAAAAAAUUUUAUCAGCUUGGAAAAAUUUAGAAGAAAGACACUAGAAUAUAAAUAAAACAAUUAGGUUUUAAAUAAUUGUUUUUUAAAAUUUUUAUUUGCAUGUAUUUUUUCUUAAAAAUUUCUAUUAUUUUUAUUUUUUAAUUAUUUUACUAACGUGACAUAUAAGAUAAAAUAACAACACAUCAACAAUUAUGCACACAUAGAGUGGCAUGUCUGUUAGAGUAAUUAAUGAGCAGUUAGUUAGUUAGCUAACUGUUGAACGUUUCGGUUGUAAGUUCUGUUGUAAGUUUCAGUUGUAAGCAGUUAAUGGGUUAAUGAGUCUCUAUAAAUGAGCAAAGAGAUGAUUGUAUUUGAUAAGUUCUUGAUGAAUAAUAGAUGAAUUCAGUAAAUAGAUGAGAUAUCUUAACAUGGUAUCAGAGGUGGUUUUGUCAAACGUGCUUCUUGUAUUUUGUUUGUUUUAAUUUUUUUUUUCUUUCAUGGAUUUCUCUUCCAGUCCUUCUGCUGUGCAAUCUGACUGUCCUGCCAUGGCUACAAACUUCUCCAAUAGUCUUGCUGAUUGUCGUUUUCUUGUUACUAAGAAGAUCAGUGUGUUGCUAGAUGACAGUAACUAUUUACUAUGGCGUCAACAGGUUAUUCUGGCGCUCAAAACUUUCAGACUACAACACUUUCUUGAUACUGUCACAUCACCUCCGCCUAAACAGAUUCUGGAAGAUAAUGGUGUUCUUCAAGAGAACCCGGAGUUUUCUCGGUUUGAGCAGCAAAACUGUGCUCUAGCAUCUUGGCUACUGUCCUCUGUAAGUACGAGUGUUUUACCGCAUCUUAUUGGCCUCGAAUCUAGCUCUCAGAUUUGGAAUGCUAUUGUUGAUCUUUUUGGAAGCAAGACUACGUCUCGUUUAAUGCCUUAUAGACGGGCGUUACAUUCUCAACGCAAAGCUGACUUACCUAUGAAAGAUUUUCUAUUAAAGAUUAAGAGUUGUUGUGAAAAUCUUGCUAGUUGUGGAGAGAUUAUCAGUGAGCGUGAACACGUCACUGCUAUUCUCAAUGGUCUGUCGCCUAAGUAUGAGUCGGUCAUUACUGUUGUCACUGCAAGCCAGGUUCCAUAUACUGUCCAAGGGGUAUCUUCAAUUCUUCUUGAUGCUGAAACCAGACAACAAGUUAUAGUAAAUGAGGCUCCUAGUUCAGCAAAUCUUGUGGCUAGCCAAGAAAACAAUUCUAUGAAUGAAACUGCUUCAGUUCCUACAUAUCGUCCUUCCUCAACAAAUCGAGGUAGAGGGCGUGGUCGCUCUUAUAGCUCUAAGAUGCAGUGUCAACUGUGUGGGAAAAUGGGUCACCUUGUGGAUCGAUGUUAUCAUCUGUUUGAUGCGUCGUACAAAAGUAUCGGCUAUAGACCACCUGCGGCUCCACAAGCAAAUUUGAGUAUGUUUGGACCUAUUGCUUGUCCGAUGACACCUUGGAUGCCAACUAUGCCUGCUGUCAGUCCAAAUCCUCAAUCAGGUUGGUACAAUUCCCCUGGCUCAUCUCCUAAGUGGACUAAUCCGUUUGUUCAAAAUUUCCCACAGUAUGGGUCCAUGCCUUCUACUUCAUCUCCUACAGUCCCUCAGGCCUAUGCAGCAACCCCUGCAACAGUGGCUGACAAUGCUUGGUAUCCAGCCUCUGGAGCCACUCACCAUCUGACAAACUCGAGCUCAUCCAUAGGUGAACAGCAGGCUUGUACCGGCCUAGGUAAAGUGUAUAUGGGUAACGGCUCUGCACUUCCUGUUAUGCCCAUGGGACAAUCAUCAUUGCUCACUCGGUCUAGAUUCUUACAAAUGAAGUCAUUAUUGCAUGUGCCUGGGAUAACUAAAAAUCUCCUUUCUGUAUCAAAGUUUACAAGAGAUAAUGCAGUAAUGUUUGAGUUCUAUCCUACACAGUGCCAAGUUCGUGAUUUAAAGACUAGAGAGUUGCUUCUCUCUGGUUCUAUGCGUGAUGGGUUGUACAAGCUACAUCUUUCCAAACCUGGCUCGACAGUGCUAUCUGCUCAAUCUGCUCAGUGUUAUUCUGCUCACUCUAUGAUUUCACUUGAUGUUUGGCAUAACAGAUUAGGACACCCAUGUAAUGUUCUACUUAAAAGGGCUCUAUCUAGAUGUAAUAUACACGUUGAUAUGAAUAAACAAGUUGAUUGUUGCCCAGCAUGUCAUUUAGGGAAGGAACGCAAACAACCAUUUCCUCAGUCUGUCGCUCAAUACUUUGAUCCUUUACAACUUGUGGCUGCUGAUGUCUGGGGACCUACUCCAGUAAUAUCAAAUGGUUUUCGCUACUAUGUAGCGUUUACAGAUGCACAUUCAUGAUACACAUGGGUGUACUUUCUACAAAAAAGUCAGAUGUUCUUGGUGCGUUCUCAGUGUUUCAUAAGCAAGCAGAAAGGGUUUUGGGUUGCAAGCUUAAAACUCUGCAAACUGAUGGAGGAGGUGAAUUUCAAGCCUUGAAAGGGUAUUUGACGCAACAUGGCAUUGUGCAACGUAUCACUUGUCCGUACACGUCACAGCAGAAUGGCUUGGUCGAGCGAAAACAUAGGCAAAUCGUUGAAGUUGGCCUUUCUAUGCUGGCGCAUGCAGGAAUGCCAGUUCAUUACUGGAAUGAGGCUUUCAGCAGUGCUGUUUUUUUUAUUAACAGGCUCCCCUCUUCACCUAUAGGGGUAUCACCAUAUGAAAAAUUGUUUCGGGAAUGUCCUCCUUACUCGUUUCUAAGGGUGUUUGGGUGUUUAUGUUUUCCUAACCUAUGUCCUUUCAAUACGUCCAAGUUGCAGUUCCGAUCUACUCCUUGUACGUUCUUAGGAUACUCUCCGACUCAUAAAGGGUAUCGGUGUCGGGCAGCAGAUGGCAAAAUUUACAUUUCUCGCCAUGUUACGUUCCAUGAAGAUAUUUUUCCAUUCAAAAAUCUCAGCUUCAGGCCAUCACCUCCUUCAUCUGGCAUAGCACAAUCGAGUUCUAGACUGCUUGUUUUGUAACCUAAUUGUUUGCCCAUAGGUGGUACUGGUUAUCACGUUCAUACUGCCCCGGUUAGUGCUAGUGACACUGCAGCUCGAGACUCUUUUCUUAGCUCACACUUGUCUCCAGAUGUACCUAGUGACACUUCAGCCCCGGGUUCUCCUGCUAGCUUGAGGCAGUGCAUGCGCGAUAGGGACGCUACCACUCCUUUCGAUUUAGUUAUUCCAGCCAACUCACAUGCCAUGGUUACAAGGAGUAAAGCUGGUAUUUUCAAGCCCAAUGUGUACUUGAGUAGUGCCGAUGUUGCUGCCACGGAUGUUCCCUCUCAUAUCUAUCAAGCUAUGCAACAGACUUGUUGGCAAAAGGCGGUUCAUGCAGAGUUACAAGCCCUCCAGCAAAAUAAGACGUGGGAACUUUGUCCUCUACCAGCUAACAGACAAGUUAUUGGGUGCAAGUGGCUAUUUAAAGUAAAAAGGAAGGCUGAUGGCACUGUGGAUAGAUACAAAGCGCGCUUGGUGGUGAAGGGGUUUUCCCAACAUGUUGGAUUUGAUUUUCGGGAUACCUUUAGUCCUGUAGUUAAAGCAGUGACUAUCAGAAUUGUGCUAGCUAUUGCGGUGAUGAAAGGCUGGCCCCUUCGACAGGUAGACAUCAACAAUGCAUUUCUUAAUGGAGAACUGACAGAAGAAAUCUAUAUGGCGCAACCACCCGGCUUUGAAGUUAAGGGUGUAGGUGGACAGCAGCUGGUGUGUCGACUAACCAAAGCUCUUUAUGGGUUGAAGCAAGCCCCCCGAGCUUGGUUUCAAACUCUAAAGGAAUAUCUUGUACAUAAGCUUAGCUUUCAUGCUUCAAAAGCCGAUCCCUCCUUGUUCAUUCGAGAUUCGGAUGGUCAACUAUUACUUCUCAUGGUGUAUGUGGAUAACAUAGUUGUCACAGGAAGCUCAGGUGCUGCCAUUAACACAGUGGUCAAGUUACUUCAUGACAAGUUCUCUCUUAAAGACAUGGGGCAACUGAAUUUUUUCUUGGGCAUUGAAGUUCAGCAUACAUCUCAGGGACUGUUCCUAAACCAAAAGAAGUACAUUGGAGAAAACUUACAUAAAACAGGCAUGACGGGUGCUACACCCACACCCACGCCUAUGUUGAGCUCCUCAAAACUUAUAGCAUCCGAUGGUUCUUCCGAAUUUGCUGAUGGUUCCCUAUAUCGGAGUACAAUAGGUAUGCUUCAAUACAUGUGCAUUACACGACCUGAAUUGAUAUUUUGUGUGAACAAACUUAGUCAAUAUAUGAAUUCUCCUAGUGAUGAGCAUUGGAAAGCAGUAAAACGGGUGUUGAGAUAUCUUGUUGGGACUAUGAACCAUGGUCUGUUUUUCUCAAGGGGUCAGUUCAAACUGGUAUGUUAUUCUGAUGCUGACUGGGCAGCCUCCGUUGAAGAUAGACGUUCUACAACAGGGUAUGUCGUUUUUCUCGGGUCAAAUCCAGUUGCAUGGUCUUCCAAGAAGCAGGUUGUGGUCUCAAGGUCGUCUUCUGAAGCCGAGUAUCGUAGUCUAGCUAAUUGUGUUGCUGAACUACUAUGGGUAAAACAACUGCUGGAUGAAAUUGGAUUGUCAGUUUGCCAAACACCAGUCAUCUGGUGUGAUAAUACCUCCACAGUAUCCAUGGUUGCAAACCCAACUCAUCACGCUCGUAUGAAACAUGUUGAGAUUGAUUAUCAUUUUAUUCGGGAAAAGGUGAUGGCAGGAACUUUACAUGUUAAUUUCGUUCCGUCCACAAGGCAAAUUGCAGAUGUCCUUACAAAACCCAUACCUCCCACUCAGUUCAUUGAUUUUCGGGAAAAGCUUCAAGUUUGCUCAAAAUGAUAGCUGCUGUCAGAGUUUAGUAAAACCGGGAGAAUGUUAGAGUAAUUAAUGAGCAGUUAGUUAGUUAGCUAACUGUCGAACGUUUCGGUUGUAAGUUCUGUUGCAAGUUUCAGUUGUAAGCAGUUAAUGGGUUAAUGAGUCUCUAUAAAUGAGCAAAGAGAUGAUUGUAUUUGAUAAGUUCUUGAUGAAUAAUAGAUGAAUUCAGUAAAUAGAUGAGAUAUCUUAACAAUGUCAACACAUGCCAUUGACUAUUAGUCAAAUAACAGACACAUUAUCAAUUCUGUCAGGAAAUGAUUAGUUUGAUAAAAAAAAAAACAAAACUAUGACGAUUAAAGUGCUCAAAGAAAAAAGAAUAAGGGCUCAUGAUUAACCAGGAAAAAAUUAGGGACUAUUUUUAGCAUUAUACCUUUUAAUUUCAUCGAGGAAAAAUUUUAGUGUAAUUUUAAAUUUUUAUCAAAGUUAUGCAAUCAUAUUUGGUUCUUGAUGCAUGGUACUAUUUUUUUUAGUUUUGGAUCUGUAAUUUGAUCUGUUCUUUUCCUUCUUCUUCUGUCUUUUUAAUUCAAGCAAUUUGAUUUUGUUUUCCAGAGUAUUUGAUCCAUAAAAGUAUCACAUGUAUUAUAUUUUGAAUUACAUUUUAGUUUUUUUUAUUGAAUCACAUGUAUUAUAUUUUGAAUUUUGAUUUGAUCUAAUUCUUGUAAAUUAUUAACACAAUUCUUAAUAUAACAUCAUUUUAUGUUUAUACAUUUCAUAUAUAUAAAUAAUUAUAUUUAUCCAAUAUAAAAAUAAAUUGAUUGAAUUAUUGCUUUAAAUAUGUACGAUUAAAUCAAAAUUAAAGUUUCAAGUAUACAUUUGAACCAUAAUUAAGAAAAAUAAUCCUAAAAAAAAAUUAAGAAAAACUACACCAUGAAUCACUAAACUAUGGGUAAAUUUUUGUUUUGAUCACUUAUUUAAAAAAGAGUUUAAUUUAAGUCAUUGGGCUAUUAAAGGGUCAAAUUUUAUCAAAUUCAUGGCCCGCAUAUUCUCAAACAUUAAAAAAAUGGGUUUGAAAUGUCAAAUGUUAAGUUUGUGAUUUGUCAUAAAUUACACUAUUAUUUACAUCCUUUUUAUACAUAACUUUAGCUUGUUUAAUAGUUAAAUUAAAACAUCUUAGCAUAUAUUUAGGUUUUCAUGUUUAAAGUAAUAAGUUAUGCUUUUUAGUACUUGUUAUUACAUUUUAUAUAUCUAAAUAAGGUUACAUAGUUUUGUAGGGCAAAUCGGGAGUUAAAGAUGCAUAUUCGAGCCAAAACUGAUGCCUAUGUUGCGACACUAAGACAUUGAUGUCUUAACAUCGAAGACAGAAGCCAAAACAAAGUCCUGGAGCAAAACUAUCUUCGAUGUCACAACAUGCUCCUUGUUGUGUCGUGACAUACCCCUUAUGUUGCAACAUAGCCCCUGCAUAGCCCGAAAAGUCAUGCAUGUGAUAAUUACGUUUUGGAUGGAAAUUAGGUGUAUUUAUCCUAGUCGAACUCUAAGGACUUUAAGGACAACUUAGGCAUUUUAAUAAUAUGAGUUUAGCCUAUAUAAAGGUCAUUGUAAUCAGUUUAAGCACACAAUUUUAGGGAGAUAGAAAAUAUACUUAGGGUUUUUAUUUCGUUCUUAGUUUUUACUUAAGGUAAUUUAUGUUCUUGUAAUAUGAAGAUCAUAUUCCCAAGUGAGACUCUCGCGAGUGGAGAUUGUUCCGGAGCCACGCUUUCAUCGAUAAAUCCAUGAUCAUCUAUUUCCUUUAGUCUAUUCUUUAUACCUCUUUCUUAACAUUGUUAAUUGAAUGUUUGUGUAAAGAUUAGAAUCAAUUUAUACUUUAUCUAUAUUUUGCAUGUUUCAAUUGUAUUAAUCUUAUUAAUUGAUUGAACGGUAGAGUUUUCUUAGCGAAUCAAUUGUUUAGGAGAGGAAGAACUUAAACCCUAGGCUUGAUGACCCUAAGAAGUCAUUUAGGUGUGAAUUAACCCAAAAAUUGGUAUGGCCUAUCCGUGAACACCUUAGCCCCGAACUAGUCUAAACUGUGAGGUCGAGAGAUAAGUAAUAAUUACCGACUCAUUAGAUUACUUGAACGCCGAGAGGCGCAACUAGGUUGAUGACUAGUUGGUUGAAUAGAGCCCUACAUCGAUAAUUAAUUAGGUAAAAUAAUUGGAUGUAGGCUAAUGAAACUCGCAUAAUCGAAACAAGGGAUAGGAGAAACCGAUACAUGAACUUAAGAGUAGAUGUAGGCUUAAUUCAAGUUAUUUAGCUUAUUAAUAUUAUCAUAAUCUUGCUUCCAUAUUAACAUUACUAAUUUGUGACUCGAGUUGAUUAUUAAUUAUUUUCGGUAAUUGGCUUGAUAGUAGUUUUCCCUAAACUACAACCCCUUAGGUAUGAUUCUCGGAGUACUUAUCUACUUUGUUGUAACUACAUUACAACCUGACUCGUAUACUUGCAAACACCGCCUUAAUUUCAUAUUUUUGUAGCAGUAUUCACACUCUAGAAGUUAGUACAUCUAGAGAUGGUUAGUUUGAUAUACAAAAAAUUAUCUCUAAAUCAAUUUUGUUCAAAUAAUUUUUUAAGAAAUUAUUUUCAGGGUAUUUUCUAAAAAUGAAAAAUAAGAUUUUAGGUUGCAAUAGGAUAGAUGCGGUACCCUAAAAAAAAGGAGUAGUACUCAAAAGUCAACGAGCAAAUUGUCUUAAGGGUACCAGGCCUUUUCGAAAAAAUGUACAAUACCUAAGAGUCAGUAAGAUUUUUGAGACAGAGGUACCACACCCUUUUCAAAAAGGAAUCGCACCCCUUCUAGUUCCUCAAAGCCUUUUGUUUCCUAAGUACCUUACCCUACAUGAAGAGGUAUGACACUCUUCCCAACUAAGGUGUUGGAUCUUGUGCCCUAAGUGUAGUAUUUUCGUCUAAGAACACUUGUAAUUUUUUCGAAUAGAUUGGUCAAUAAAAUUGUUCAUGAAUUACAUUAAUACUUUGUAUAUUUUUCUCACAUGAUUUUUGUACAUAAAGAAAAAUGGAAGCAAGUGUUGCUCAAUGGUUGUCUAAUGUUAAACUAAUAUUAAGUGGUAUUAUGUGGUUGAAUCGUAAUAUUAAAAGACAACUUGUAUUAGUAGAUGAACUUAAACAAGCCAUCAGUCUAACAAAAAAUGAGCAAAUCGAUUGAAAGAUUAAUUUAUUAUUUAUCAAGUCCAAUUGGGGAGAUACUUUUUCUUGGGCAUCAAAACGGAUGACUCCUAGAAAAAAGAGACAUAGAUGUGACUGACUAGACUAGUAGUACAUCAGACAUGACCCAAGAUGAAUAGAUCCUGAAUCCGUGAAUGAAUUUAUUCAAUUAUGGAAUUUAUAGGGUUGCAUACCUAAAUCUUGAGUGGAUGACGAACUAUAUAUGUGUGUCUUGUACACUUUGAUGUAAGUAAAAUCCCAAGUUUAAAUAAAUAAGGAACUGAAAGCUGGUGCGUUAAGUGUAUGACUUCUGCAGUAUGUAGCGUUAUUCACAAUAGUGGAAUUCACAGCUCGAGACAUGAGUAAAUGAUAUCCUCUUAUUGGCAUUACAUGGUUGAUGAAAAGUAAAUGUGGCAACGAGUUGUUGGUUUUUAUGAUGAAUGACUUUAUCACUAUUUGAUAGUGAUUGACUUUUCAUAAAGAAAGAUGUAAUGGUUACCAUGAGAUAAAAUAAGAUCAUAUUGGGAGAGCGGAUAUUAUCCUAAAGAGAUCAAUGAUAUCCUAUGAGAGUAACACAUUUAUUACAAGGUCAUUGGACGAGCAUUGAGCAAUUGUUUUUGUAAUGACAUGUUGUUAGGGAAAGCUUAAUCAUGAUAAUAUAGUGAAAUGACUUCGUGACUAAAUGAGUUUAUAAUUAAUAGGUAAAAAUCCAAAACCUAAUUAUAAAUCAUUUCAACAUUAAUUACAUAUGUCCAAUCAGUCCCUCCGCUAGCUUGUUGAAACCAGAAAUGAAUUGUGUGUUUGAAUCAAAAUAAACAGAAUGAAUAUAAAUAGACAAAUGAAAAAAUCCAAAAAUUAUUAUGGUUUUCUCCGAAAUGGAAAAAUAGAAUCAUUUGGAAAUGAAUGUGAUUUUCUCAAAAUGGAAAUGAAAAUGGAAAUGGAAAUGAUAAAUGAUUCAUUUGCAAAUGUACAUGGAUUACUAAAAAGGUCGAAGAAUGGGUUUAUAUUUUUCAGCUAUUUCAAGGCUCGAAAAUGAAUAUAAAUCAUUUGGUCAUAAUGAACAUGUUAAGUGGUGAAAUAUUAAACAUAUUUUUAAAAAAUUUUACCAAAGGUAAAAUUGUCAUAAUAUUGGGAUGAAAAGAUGACACCAGUAGGAUAUUAAACACAACUUUAAGAGAUUGUUACUUUACCGAAAAAUAGAGAGAAUUUAUUCUCAACUGUUAAAUGUAUUUUUUCAGAAGAACAAUUCUACUGGUUUCUAUCAAAAGAAGCGAGAAUUUUUAUUUUCACCCCAAAAAGAAAAGAAAACUUUUUUUUUGUUCUGUGUUUUGAUUCAAUUGGUUCGAGCCCACACUUCAAGUAAUUCGUGGUAUGAUAAUAGCAGAGAAUAUCGCUUGGUUGAAAUCUAGAAAACAUAAAAGAUUCGCUUAUCCGAAAACACAUGUAUGAUUUUGGUUAAAGGUUUAUUUUUAUAAAUAUCACAAACCGGGUAGACUUUCAAAAUUUUAAUUUUUUGAUUGCAAUAAAACCAUUUUCAAACCAGAUUUUUUCCAACAUAAGGUGUGAUACUCAUGGCUCCAACGAUUACUUUUUGACCAAAGGAACCAGACUUCUAUGAAUUAGGUACCAUUACCUAAAGGCUUGCAAAAGUAAUUAAUGUUGCAAUUAAAGACUCCAACGAGUCUAAUUUGUUUUUAACUUCCUCACGUCGCUAUUAAUACAUGAGAGAUCAUGGAGCAAAAGUUGGAGAUGGGAAAUCUAAAGCAUGAAAUUUGUAGUUUGAAUUAUUAGUUUGGAGGAAGAUAUGGGUAAUGAUGUGAUUGAUUCAAUGGAUUGGUGAUAGUAGCGUAUCCACAUCAAGUAUAGAAAAGACAUAAAACACUAGAUUAGAUAAAGGCAAGCUUAAGGUGCAAGUGAGGGGUAUGUCAAGCCUAAUAAGAUUAAUAAAAAAAAUCCAUUUUUAUUGGCUUGUUAGUGUUUAAAUGAGUAAGAGGAUUGUAAGCUAACGUAUGGGCCCAUGUGAGUGGUCAAAAGAUAGUCAAACUGAGGAGCUUAUAGAUGUGCUACAGACAAAAGUCAAAUGUAAAUAGUAAGUGGCUUCUUAUCUCGACAAGUAGAUAACACUUUAAAUAGAGUAAAUAACUUUAUGGUUGAAAUGAAAGAAACCAUUGAUUAAAAUUUAAGAGAGGACUCCAAUAGUAGGUGUGGGAUGUGCCUUGUAUUCUUCUCCCAGUUAAACUCUACUAUAUUUUCCCAAUUGGACUCUGAUCGUAACAGCCUAUUUUCAGUGAAAUCGGAACAGUGGUUUCGGGACCACAAAUUCGAGUCAAAAAGAAAAUUUAUUUUAAUAAUAUUGUAUGGUCUGCAUUAUGAUAGGAAAGACGUAUGAAAAUUUUGAUAAGAAAAUUUUACCUAUCACAUGUUUAAUUAUAGAAAGGACCAAAUUGCAUAAAAUGAAAAAGUUGAGUUCUAGUAGCUAUAAGUAUGAAAUAGCUAUGGAAUUUGAAAUUUGAGGUCCUUAUAUGGUAAUUAGACCAUUAAGAAAAGUUAGUAGAUAUUUUUGAUGAUUCAUCCAUAGAAAAUUAGAAAAAAUGACUAAAUUAGAAUUUGGAAUAAAUAAAGAUGAUAAUAACCUAAUAUCAUCUUAUUUCAUCAUUUUCCCCAAAUUUUCUAUGGAAAUCCUAGGAAAGAGAAAGAAAAUCAAGCAAGCUUAAUUAGGUAAGUAAUCAUGUCCCGAUUUCAGUAAUUUUUAUAUUUUUGAAGUUAGAAUAACCUAAUCUAUCUAUUUUGGGAUCAAUUUAUAAAGAUGUUAAAGUAUUGAAAUUUUGCCGUGCUGAAAAUUUGAAAUUUAUGGUACAAAACGAAAGGUUGUUGAUAGAUAAAUAACUUUUGUAAAGUGAAUUUUCAUGAAAUUGUGAUUUAGGGACUAAAUCAUAAAGAUGUAAACUUCAUGGAAAUUUUUUUAUUUUUGUGAAAUAUAUGUGUUGUAAAUGUUAAAUGUAAAAAUUGAUUAGGCUUCGAAUAAGGAUUAAAUUGUAUGAAUUUCAUUUUCCGAGCCUAGGGAGAAAAUCGUCAUUAAUUAAAAAGUAUAAGGGCAAAAUGGUAAUUUUGCCUAAUAUGUGAAUUGAAUAGAAAUGAGUACGAAAUUAUAUUAAAUUUAGUUAAAUUUACUUGUAUAGAUCCGGAUAGACAAAAUAAAAAAUUGGAUCGAGGAAAGGAAAAAGUAAUGAAUUAGUAGAUUACAACUUACGAAUAUUGUCCAGGUAAGUUUGUGUAACUUAAUUGUGUAAUUAUAUGUUUGAAUUGGUUUGAAUGAUUUAUAUGUGAAUUCUGUAUUGGUCAUGCAUAUGAAAUCUGAUUGCAUAUUUGGAAAAUACCUGAUAAAUGUUAAAUCCCGUUUGAAUGAAUGAAAUUCAAUUGGAUACAGGGUUCUGUUUCUCGAAGUGGUAGUGUUCCUGCAUAUGUUGCGGACAUACCAUAGCUCAAAAGAGCAUCCCGAUAUAAGCCCUCUUAGUGUUCUUGCGAGGUUCUUGUUAAAUGCUCUUCAGAGUAUCCUUCAUUAACUGAAUGGCGGAUGGUAUCUGCAAAUGUGAAAUCAUACAUGAAGAACGAUAAAGGUGAAGUUCUAAGAGAUGUGUUAGCAUUAAGUUAUGAUGAUCUGCCUCCCUAUUUAAAACCAUGUUUCCUUUAUUUAAGCCAAUUUCCGGAGGAUUAUGACAUACCUAUGGAUAGAUUGAUUUAGUUAUGGGUUGCCGAAGGUAUUGUUUCAUCAAAGCAAGAAGUAGGAGAUCAUAUAUAUAAUAAGAGUAAUUACAUAUUAUUUACUAUCAUAAUAGCUUAAUAAAAUUGAUAUAAUUUGGCUAUGGUUUAUUGGACUUUAAUUAUUAAAUAAAGUAUAGGCCAAAGUUAUAUAUACACUACACCAAAACAGGUUUUUAGCGGCGUUUUUUCAGGCCGUAGCGGCACUUUUUAGCGCCACUAAAUGUGUUUGCGGAGCUUCCACAAGCGCCG